AUCAUUUCUCAAACAAACACAAAGAUUUUUUUUUUUUUAAAAGAACCAUUUCUUUUUCUUGCCAAGCCCUCUUCCAUUUCUCCAACGUUUCAUCCAUGUCAUUCAGAAUCAGAUGGAUGUUGGGAUAUCAAGCUGUGAGGAAAUGUUGAUGGCAAUGGAAUUCAUUGUUGUGAAAUCUUGGUUCUAGUGUUUUUUUUUAUCCAUUUAAAAUCACUUGAAUUUAAGAAUUUAGGAAAGCAUCAUGAUUGUAUUUGAUAAAGUUGGUCAGCAAAAUGUAUCUUCUGGUGUGGGAGUUGGAGAUGAGAUUCUUGGAGCUUAAGAGGAAGAAGGGGUAUCGACGUUAUGUGAUUUUUAAGAUUGAUGAGAAAAAAUGAGGUGGUUGUUGACAGCCCUGCUGAAAACCAGAAUGAUUUUGUUGAAUCUUUGCCACAAAAUGAUUGUCGAUAUGCAGUUUAUGAUUUUGAUUUUGUGAUUACUGACAAGUGUCGAAUAAACAAGAUUUUCUUCAUUACCUAGUUAGUUUUUAUGCUCAUUC